rnacentral:misc_RNA from 1 species
GUUCACAUCUGGAUGGUAACUCCUUGCAAGCUUUCGAUAAGAGCUUUUGAUUUCUGAUUUGCUAGCAUUUCUAGAUACACCUAGGACAUCAUAAUAAUCUUUUUCAGCUCUAACAACUAUACUGGUCCCCCUUCGUUGAUAGUGGUUCUUGUUUGAUACUGAACUGAAAAGUGCUUGCAGGGAUUCUUGACAAAAAAGGGUUGAAUUUGGGGAUGCCAAUGCCCUUAUCUUGCUUGAGAAACAAAAUGGAGAUGCUGAUAAUUUAUUUGUAACAGGAAAUUUUGGCACAGACUGAGGCUGAACACCCCACCGGGCAACCCAUGUGCUUCCACAAGGUAUGAUUGCCAUCUAAUAUACUGUCACUGAGAUUGGCCGGAAUUUUGCGAUGUUUACGCGCCGCUACGGCAACGGCGGCGGUAGUUGUGUGGUGGUUGAAAGGAUUGAUGGAGGAAGUCUGGUUGGGAAGAUGAGGCUCCGAAAGAGAAGAUUCGAGAAGAGGCUCUAUCUCUAGUUAUA